ensembl:lncRNA
CCUAUCUCUCGUGUGGUUGGUCUAUGGGGCAGACGUGAACAAAUCCUAAAUCCGGAAUAUAGAUUUAGGAUACUAGUUAAGGAUACUAGAACCCUGAGUAAGAGACCAGGAUUUGUAUUCCUAUGUUUCAGUCCAUUCCUUUUUCAUUUCCCUUGUCCCAAAGCCUUUCUCUCUCACUCUCUUGGUGGGGAGUCUGGGGGACAAAGAACAAGCAUAUCGCCAAUGUACAGUGUUUAUGAAAAUUUCCAGUCCAUGAGCAUUGAAGACCAUGAGGUGAUAAUCACUCAGUCCUCUCCAAACGAGUUCGUCAUGUGCACGUUAUCUUCAUUGCUGGCCCAGUCACUCGGACAUCUGCUAGCAAAGAGGAUGGAGGGAUGUUCUUGGGAACAUCCCCUGCUACUCUGCAAUGGAUUCUCCGUGAAACCUCACUGCUGUGCAGCUGAUAUUUGAUGUCUUUGUUAUUAGAGCUCCAUCUUAUGAAUUUCCUGUCUGCCAGGUGCUGCCCUGACUGAUAGAAUGGACACUAAGAACGGUAUCUUCCAAUCUCCAUGGAGUUUCAAUCAGAAGCUGUAAGAGAUAUCAGUAAUCAAGAAAAAGAGGCCACCCCCUGGUUUUUGCCAAUUUCUAUUUACUGCCUGUAGUGGUUUGAAUAUGCUUGGCCCAGGGAGUAGUACUAUUAGGAGGUGUGGUCUUGUUGGAAUAGGUAUGGCCUUGAUGGAGGAAGUGUGUCACUGUAGGUGUGAAC